rnacentral:lncRNA from 1 species
GUCAAAGUCACUCAUCGAUCACAUUACACCUCAACCCUUUGUCAUGUUUUGAAGUAAAAAAUACUGUUUCCAUCUUCUACGUUGAUUAAUUUAUAGGGUUUAUACAUGAUUUGUCAAAUAAGUCCGACGGCUUAAGAAGACCGAUACCAGCCAUCACCUUUCUUCCUUAAAAGUAGAAGUAUUUCCAAGGAAUCAACUUGUGCUUGGUCCAAUAUUUCUCUGAUCGAACAUUUAGGCUUGUUCUUUGAAUACUAUGGCUCAUAACAAGAUUUUAACUGAUAUGGAUCCCGGAAUAUGGAGCCGGUUACCGGAGGAACUCCUCGAGAGGGUGCUGUCAUUUCUACCAUUGAAAAUUUUCUUGAAUCUCAGAUCAACUUGUAGAAACUUCAAUUCUCUCCUUUUCUCCCCUUGCUUCAUUUCAAAACAUUCGCCGUCUUCUUCUUCGCCUUUCUCGCCUUUCAUCCUCCUUUCGCACCCACAGUUUCUCCACAAGUAUUCCCUUUUCAAUACUGUAUUGAACUCCUGGUGCAAUAUGUCACUGUCCUUGCCCCCCAUGCUCUCUAGUCCACCUUCUUCAAAUCUUCUAUCCAGUUCCAAUGGUCUCCUAUGUUACUCUAUCCCGAGAUCGUCUUGUUUUAUUGUAUGCAACCUUCUGGCGAAAUCUAUGCGACGAAUAAAAUUCCCUACAUGUCCAUUUGACUUUGAGUUCCUCACUCUAGUUUCCACAUCAAGUGGUUACAAAUUGUUCAUGCAAUCUUCUUUUGGAUCAUCCACCAUUCACGUCCUUGUUUACGACUCUGUGCUUCAAUCCUGGCUACAAUUCGAGGGGUGCAAUCCAAUUCUGAGCCAUAGCUAUUAUCAGAAGGGUACUUUCUAUGAUGGAUGCUUGUUUUUCACCACUCCUGAACCUUUUAAUGUUGUGUGCUUCAAUUUCGAUACUGGCAAGUGGAAGAUAUCAAGAACUGAGUUGCCGGGAAGCCUUACUUUUGUUCGACUGGUAAGCGAUGAGGAUCGGAAGUUGUAUUUGAUUGGAGGAGUUGGGGAGAGUGGGAUUUCAAGAAGUAUAAAGUUGUGGGAAUUGGGAGAAAAUGGAGAGAAUUGGGUGGAGAUUGAAACAUUGCCUGAGAUGAUAUGCAGAAAAUUUGUGUCUGUUUGUUACCAUAACUAUGAACAUGUUUAUUGUUUUUGGCACCAAGGAUUGAUUUGUGUUUGUUGCUACACAUGGCCUGAGAUUUUGUACUACAGGGUGAGUAGGAGAACCUGGCAUUGGCUGCCCAAGUGCCCUUCAUUGCCUGACAAGUCGAGUUGUGGUUUCCGGUGGUUUCCCUUUAAACCCGAGCUUUAUGCCGUUGUAUAAUAAUUAGAGGUAUCAAUCAGACUGUAUUGGGAUCUACCUACGGGCUUUUAUUAGGUGAGUCACUCGGCACUUAUUGAUACAUCUAAUAAUAGUCAAUUACAUGUAUAUAUUUUUUGGAUUUUUUAUUUUAUUUUAUAUUUUUGGUGUCAUAUUCUCAAAAUACAAAUUCAAUAUUUAUUGAAAAAUCCUACUAGUCAAACUUGGAGUUCCAUGUACCACUUAUUUAAGUACCAGAUUAUUAUAACUACGAGGAUGGGGAUGCUUCCUGUCGUUUUGUAUUUUGCUAUUAAAGAAAAGUCGACAAUUUACACCAUUGACAUUAAUCUUUAAUCUUUUAGAGAACUUUCAAUUAGAUCGUUAAACUAUAUUUUUCUUCAUUAGAUCAUUGGAUUUUAAUCUAGUUUUAAUUAGUACAAAACAUGCCUAUAGUUUGCAAUGCAAACUAUUCUUAUCGUUUCAGAUUUGGCAUUUACACCUUCAUUUCAAUAUUUUCUUGCGAAAUUGGUCACUUUCGUAUCAUGCAAUCAAAUAUGGUGCAAAACGUUUUUAUCGCUUGCUUUCAUUGCACAAAAUAUCCUUAUCGUAUAUUUUCUCCAUUAAAGCAUUAUUAAUAAUUAAUUUACCAUCCUUCUUAAAUAGACAAAUAGGAAAAAAAUGCAUAAUAUAAAAAAUUAUACUUCGUUUAUAUAUUUUUUAAAAAUUUUGAAUUCUAACUGCAAUUAUUUACUUAUUUUUAUAUAUUUACUUCGUUUCUUUUGUACAAUGAAGGCAUACGGAUUGAUGAAAUGAGACAAAAAGGACCAACUCCAAAAAGAAAUAUUGAAAUGAGAGUGCAAUUGUCAAACAGGGAAAGGUAGAAACGAUUUGUGUAAUAAAUGUAAACGGUGAGAACAUUUUGUCCUAAUCGCCCUUUUAAAUUUUAUCACACAUCAUAGUUUGUCUCUAUCUUUUCCAAAUUGUCGAAAAUUGCUUUAUUGCAGCUAAAUCGUAUAUUAAUUUCCAUGUAAUCACCACUUGGGACUUCAAAAGAAAUUGGUAAAAGGUCAUUUGGGACAAUAAUUUUAUAUUGAAAUUCUUUAAUGAAAAUCUACCAAAAUCUUGUGGGUGAAUGAUUGACAAAUUUAGAGAUUUUAUUUUUGUACUUUCUACAUAAAAGGUAAUAUCUUGAAUACUUUUAUACAAAUAAUUAAAAGUCACUGGCAUUUUGAAAAAUCUUGAUUCAAUACCUCAGACUGUUAAAGAUUUUAAAAAGUUCAUAAAAGUCUAUAUUUUAAUAUCGCUAGAUAUGUAUGAAGUAUUAAGAAGUCUACAUGGAAUAAAACUUUUUAAAUCUCAAAAGAUCUUUAAAAAUUUUAAACUGAAUACACCACUUAGCAUUAGAAAGAACAAUGGGUGAACCAAAAUUGGGGCAAUGUUGAGGAUAGGAUUUGGGUAAAACUUUCCAACCCUUUGAAUUCUGUAUCUAUUCCAACGAGGAAAUGGUGCUAAUUGGUUAGAUGGUUCGAUCACUUUACCAUAUUUGCCAUUGAUCCACUUUCCCCAAUUAAAUAGGAAAAUGCCAUUUUGUUUGAAAAUGUUUGACACUUGGGGUGACUGACUGUCACAAAGUGCGCGGAUCCCAUAUGAAUAAAAUAAUGUCUGACUCUUGAGGUAUACGUGUUCGGUCAUUUCCUAUAUCAAUUAUUAUGUUCCCCUAACUCGAUCCAUUAAAACAUAAAUUAAAGAAAAACUAUAAUACCCAAUAUUUUCCCCAAAUGCUCUCACACCACGACUUCUUAUUUUUCAUGGCUUCUUCAUCUUCUUACUUUCUUUGUUUUCUCUUUAUUUUUUUGAAAAAUAUUUUCCACGCAUACAAAAUUUCAACUUGAAACAAGCAAAGCAAUCAUUGACCAUUUCAAGGUUAGACUUUGCCCCCUUUUUUUAUCAACUGUUGUCCCAUUACUAUUUUUUUUCCUCAUUUAGUUUAGGUUAGAAUUUAUGAAUUUCGUAAUUUGUUUCUCACCAAACAAAUUCUCACCGACCUGAGUUACUGAGGCCAUGCGAUCAGGACACUUAAAACCUUUGUGAUCGAAUGGUUCAGUCCCUACGUAUCUGCCUAGGACUUUACAAGUUUUGCGAUUUCAGAACUCAAAACUUCUUUUAAUUUACUUUAAAAUGGUUACUGGGUUAUUAAUCUGCUUAACAGUAGUGUAAUUUCUUAUUGGAUUUUUCUAGACACUAAGCCAUGUUUAAUACUCACCCGUCUCAUUCAUAUAGGCUGACUUUCCUUAUUUUCUUGUUUCGAUUAUAUAGUCAUGUUUCUUUGUUAAGAAUGUUUUGUUUUGUUGGUUUACUAAAAUAUCCAUAUUUAAUUUGCCUAACUAUAACUAAUUUUUUCACUUAAUCUUGAAAUUGUACAAUCAUAAAUAAGGAUUAAUUAGGAAAGUUCAUGGCAAAAACUGCUUUUUCAAUAAUAUUAAAUAAGAUUUCUUAAUCGGUGUGAAAAACAAAACAAUCGUAUAUAAAUGGCACAGAGCGAGUAUAUUUUAAUAUAAGCUUCGGAUAUUUAUAUGUUAUUUAGGAUGGAGUAAGCUCUUGAUUCUAGAUUGAGUGAAUAGCUAGGAAAGGUUACCUUGAACUAUAAUUUAUAAAAUAUUGAAAAGGUGCUAGAGGCUAUAGAUAAACAUCACAUACUACUUUUUCGGAUGCAGAAAGGUGGCUUAGUUCUCUAUAUUUGAGUUUACCCUCAUUAUAGGGUUAAACUCUCAGAAUGAAGAAGGCUAGGUCCAAUAUUCGUCGAAACAAAAUCUUAUUGAACAAAUAUUUUUGAGAAAUGUCUAUUAUUAAGCUUGCAGAGUUGGAGACUGCAUUUGAUGGGAUGCUCAGUUAUGGAGGAUAAAUACAAGCUUAGAUUGAUGUUUAUCGUGGAGACCUCGCUGAGAUGCAAAUACCAUAAGGUAUCCAUCGAUCUUUUUCUUUGGAUGUUGUAAACAAUUUUGAUGCAUUCGACAACUAUUCAUGGGGUCAAAAGUGUCAUAUUUGUUGCGUGUUUUUAAGAGGGAGAAGUCGUCCAAGUCGUCAAAGGUCGAGCAUAAAUACAUCAUCUACUAAAUGUUGAUCUUUUUUAUAUUGACAUUUAUUAAAUUUCAAUAUUUAAUACCUAUGGGUGUUGCAGGUAUGGAAGUACGAGACCAUGUCGACAUUGGCAGCCAAGUGGGCAAUAAUAAAAGAAGUUAAGUUGCCUGAAGAUGCUUAACUGGCAGGCAUUGGAUACCUUGAAUGUUAAAAUUAUGUAUUAUUCUAUUUGUACAGAAAUAUUCUCACAAAAUUUUACUAGAAGAGAUUUAUGUGUGUGGGG